rnacentral:rRNA from 1 species
CACGUAGGGGGCGAGCGUUUGUCCGGAUUUAUUGGGCGUAAAGAGCUCGUAGGCGGUUCGCUAAGUCGGGUGUGAAACCUCCAGGCUCAACCUGGAGACGCCACCUGAUACUGGCGUGACUAGAGUCCGGUAGGGGAGUGUGGAACUCCUGGUGUAGCGGUGAAAUGCGCAGAUAUCAGGAAGAACACCAGCGGCGAAGGCGGCACUCUGGGCCGGUACUGACGCUGAGGAGCGAAAGCGUGGGUAGCAAACAGG